GCCACGCCCGCUCAAGAACUACGAAAGGAAUUGGACGGGGGCCCGCACAAGCGGUGGAGUAUGUGGUUUAAUUCGAUGCAACGCGAAGAACCUUACCUGGUCUUGACAUCCCGGAGACCCUUAGGAAACUAGGGGGUGCUUCCAUCUGGAAGAAUCUGGAGACAGGUGCUGCAUGGCUGUCGUCAGCUCGUGUCGUGAGAUGUUGGGUUAAGUCCCGCAACGAGCGCAACCCUUGCCUUUAGUUGCCAGCAGUUCGGCUGGGCACUCUAAAGGGACUGCCGGUGUUAAACCGGAGGAAGGUGGGGAUGACGUCAAGUCCUCAUGGCCUUUAUGACCAGGGCUACACACGUACUACAAUGGCCGAUACAAAGGGCAGCGACACUGCGAGGUGAAGCCAAUCCCGUAAAAUCGGUCUCAGUCCGGAUUGGAGUCUGCAACUCGACUCCAUGAAGUUGGAAUCGCUAGUAAUCGUGGAUCAGCAUGCCACGGUGAAUACGUUCCCGGGCCUU
rnacentral:rRNA from 1 species